CCUAGGGUCGUAAAGCUCUUUCGCCAGGGAUGAUAAUGACAGUACCUGGUAAAGAAACCCCGGCUAACUCCGUGCCAGCAGCCGCGGUAAUACGGAGGGGGUUAGCGUUGUUCGGAAUUACUGGGCGUAAAGCGCGCGUAGGCGGGUUGUUAAGUUAGAGGUGAAAUCCCGGGGCUCAACCCCGGAACUGCCUUUAAUACUGGCAACCUAGAGUUCGAGAGAGGUGAGUGGAAUUCCGAGUGUAGAGGUGAAAUUCGUAGAUAUUCGGAGGAACACCAGUGGCGAAGGCGGCUCACUGGCUCGAUACUGACGCUGAGGUGCGAAAGUGUGGGGAGCAAACAGGAUUAGAUACCCUGGUAGUCCACACCGUAAACGAUGAAUGCCAGUCGUCGGGUAGCAUGCUAUUCGGUGACACACCUAACGGAUUAAGCAUUCCGCCUGGGGAGUACG
rnacentral:rRNA from 1 species